rnacentral:miRNA from 14 species
AGAAAUGCGUCAAGACGCUCAGA